GUAAAUGCCAAUAGGAGUGGGACAGAAAUGAUAUUUUCGCAAAAUUUAUUUCGUCGUCCCACCCCAACUUGCAUUGUCUGUAGAAAUUGAGAAUCCAAUUUCUCUUUGUUGGGGCCCCGCCAACUUACAUUGUCUGUAGAAAUUGGGAAUCCAAUUUCUCUUUGUUGGGGCCCCGCCAACUUGCAUUGCCUGUAGAAUUUCUUUUCGAAAUUCUCUGUAUUGGGGGCCCCGCCAAGGUAUUACUUGAAUAA
rnacentral:ncRNA from 1 species